rnacentral:tRNA from 1 species
GGAUCAUUAGCGCAGCGGUGAGAGCAACCGGCUCAUAACCGGUCGGUCCAAGGUUCGAAUCCUUGAUGAUCCA